rnacentral:rRNA from 2 species
UAAUGAUGGCGGCGCUGUCUCCAGCAGAGACUCAGUGAAAUCGAAAUCGCAGUGAAGAUGCUGUGUACCCGCGGCUAGACGGAAAGACCCCGUGAACCUUUACUACAGCUUUACAUUGAACUUUGACCUUACCUGUGUAGGAUAGGUGGGAGGCUUUGAAGCAGGCACGCCAGUGUCUGUGGAGCCAUCCUUGAAAUACCACCCUGGUAAUGUUGGGGUUCUAACUCAAGCUUAACAGAGCUGAGGACAAUGUAUGGUGGGUAGUUUGACUGGGGCGGUCUCCUCCUAAAGAGUAACGGAGGAGUACGAAGGUGCGCUCAGAACGGUCGGAAAUCGUUCGAAGAGUAUAAAGGCAAAAGCGCGCUUAACUGCGAGACCCACAAGUCGAGCAGAUACGAAAGUAGGUCUUAGUGAUCCGGUGGUUCUG